AUUUAAAUAGCUUAUUAAUAAUAGAGUGUAAUAUUGAAGAUAUUAAGGAGAUAAAUUUAUCUUUAAAUA
rnacentral:tRNA from 1 species